CCACGGUGGCUGCAGUGGGGAAUAUUGGACAAUGGGCGAAAGCCUGAUCCAGCCAUGCCGCGUGUGUGAAGAAGGCCUUCGGGUUGUAAAGCACUUUCAGUGGGGAAGAAAGCCUUGGGGCUAAUACCCUCGAGGAAGGACAUCACCCACAGAAGAAGCACCGGCUAACUCCGUGCCAGCAGCCGCGGUAAUACGGAGGGUGCGAGCGUUAAUCGGAAUUACUGGGCGUAAAGCGCGCGUAGGCGGUCUGAUAAGCCGGUUGUGAAAGCCCCGGGCUCAACCUGGGAACGGCAUCCGGAACUGUCAGGCUAGAGUGCAGGAGAGGAAGGUAGAAUUCCCGGUGUAGCGGUGAAAUGCGUAGAGAUCGGGAGGAAUACCAGUGGCGAAGGCGGCCUUCUGGACUGACACUGACGCUGAGGUGCGAAAGCGUGGGUAGCAAACAGGAUUAGAUACCCUAGUAGUC
rnacentral:rRNA from 1 species